GAGAUAUUAGUAAAACAAAAUUACACCACCUUGUCAAGAUGGAAUCAUGGGUUAAACCCCUAUAUAUCUCC
rnacentral:tRNA from 1 species